CAGCACUUUUCCUGCAUGUGGCCCCGUGUGCGCAGAGUCAAGUUUUCGUUCAACAGAUAGCAGCUCAGUGAUCCUUUGUAAACUGUAGCCGAGUGUAGCGUUCACAGCGCAAGAAGGACGCGGACUUUUCUCGUCCACGGCUCUCAUCGUCAAGGUUUUUUACAUGAGUUCAAAGUCAACCAACCAGUGAUCGCUGGAAGCUGGGGAUUGAGUCUUUCAGUUUUUAACCCCACUCGCUGACAUGGAGGGCUUUCUUCGUAGCAGCUUUUUACUGAGGUUAGUUUCAUUUCCGUUGUUGCCAUCUAGGAUCACAGGUCGGGCGAGGGUGGUGUGGCAGGCACACGCUGGGGGGGAGGGGGGGUUAAUCUCUCUGACACAUUGUUAGCUGUGGACUUUACCCCUUGUGUGUGUGCGUGCGGGUGCACAUGUUUGCGUGCGCGCAUGUGUUUGUACAUUUGAAAGACUGUCCAACAUAGAUUCUUGCAUAUUUACCCAAGCUGUCUGUUACAGUUGUGUUCAUGUAUUGCGUUGGCUGUGAAGCAUGCUCACCCUUACAGCCUUGAGUCAGACUGAAAGCACACAUCAACAACUUGACGGUCACAUACACAUGAGCUCGCCCCACCCCUUGCCUCCACUCAUUUCACAGUUUUAACAGCCUGCAGGUCAAGCUCUCUGUGUCUUCAUACUGCAUGCUCUUGUCUGACCACUCUCCUCAUCUGCCCCUGCCUUGCUAAACACCCUUAUCAGGGCUGGCUGGUUGAGGCAAUCACUAGCAAAUCAGUCUUGUGAUGUACUCUUGUUUCCCCUUUCCUUCCUGUGUUUGUCUUCACCCCUAAUGUAAAGAUUUGCAUUUUUUCUUGUGUGUGUCUGCCUUUACACAUCCUGGGAUUCUAAUUAAAAAUGUGUGCUGUCAUUACACACAGUGGAAGUAAAUAAGCAAGCUUAUUUACCAUUGGCUCCUUUCCUAGUCAACCACCUUCUCUAGGCUCCAGUGUUGCUCCCUAAUUAGGGCUGGCUCAUUAAAAGCCACAGCAGCAUCUGCCUUUCAAAGCUGCUGUCAGCCAAACUUUACUAAAGCUAAUGAAUCCUCUUUGAUUUCUUUUUCAAAAGGUCACUUAUUUGAUUAAAUUAACAGCAUUUUUUUUUCUCCCACAGAACAGUUGGGGGCAUUUUAAAAAGAAAGGACAAUUUGAUACCAUUACACUUGCUCAUCAAAGCGUCCUUCAGGAAUUCAAUAGGAAAAUGUCUUGCCUAUUUGAAAUUGUUUUUAUUUUUUCUAACAGAUGGAAUCUCACAUUUAUUAC